GCUUUCUAACACAAUAAACUCCAUACCUCUUAGAACAACUUCCUAAGAGCACAGCAUAUACUAGCUGCAAGAAUACAUGGCAACUUGGAAAUCAUCCUCCACUCUUCAAAAAGCAGGAAUAUGGAGGACCACAUCAUUUUGCCACCGCUACCUCAUAAAAGGUAUGCUGCAUGCACAAUAAUGAGCUACCCUGCUUUUCUCCACAUGGACUGACUCUGUGUUGCUCUCUUAGUGAUGUCUGCAUAACCUGUAAUCAAGUAGCACCUAAGAACCCCAGUCAAGGAUCGGGGCCCUUGUGUUCGGGGCUGUACAAACACACAACAAAAGACAGUCCUUCACCCGAAGAGCUGACAGUCUAAAUAAUAUUAAAGAGCUGCUGAUGCCUUCCAGUUUCUAGGCCAAGUUCAGAGGUGACGUAAAUGCAUACAAUGGAGACUUCUCAGAGAGACCAUGUAGACAACAGAGACUGUUUGACCAAUGAGUAAUGACUAACCCAUCUCACAGUAAAGAUCUUUUCAACAAACUGGAAGAAACUAUAAAAGAAAGGAAGUAACAUCACUUGGCCUCACUUCCCCCACAACUCAACACCUGGAAACAUGUCUGGAGGACAAAGACUUUGAAUUGGGGGAAGGAGGUCUGAGACAAUAACAGGCUGGA